CGAAUACCGGAGAAUGUUAUCACGGGAGACACACGGCGGGUGCUAACGUCCGUCGUGAAGAGGGAAACAACCCAGACCGCCAGCUAAGGUCCCAAAGUCAUGGUUAAGUGGGAAACGAUGUGGGAAGGCCCAGACAGCCAGGAUGUUGGCUUAGAAGCAGCCAUCAUUUAAAGAAAGCGUAAUAGCUCACUGGUCGAGUCGGCCUGCGCGGAAGAUGUAACGGGGCUAAACCAUGCACCGAAGCUGCGGCAGCGACGCUUAUGCGUUGUUGGGUAGGGGAGCGUUCUGUAAGCCUGUGAAGGUGUGCUGUGAGGCAUGCUGGAGGUAUCAGAAGUGCGAAUGCUGACAUAAGUAACGAUAAAGCGGGUGAAAAGCCCGCUCGCCGGAAGACCAAGGGUUCCUGUCCAACGUUAAUCGGGGCAGGGUGAGUCGACCCCUAAGGCGAGGCCGAAAGGCGUAGUCGAUGGGAAACAGGUUAAUAUUCCUGUACUUGGUGUUACUGCGAAGGGGGGACGGAGAAGGCUAUGUUGGCCGGGCGACGGUUGUCCCGGUUUAAGCGUGUAGGCUGGUUUUCCAGGCAAAUCCGGAAAAUCAAGGCUGAGGCGUGAUGACGAGGCACUACGGUGCUGAAGCAACAAAUGCCCUGCUUCCAGGAAAAGCCUCUAAGCAUCAGGUAACAUCAAAUCGUACCCCAAACCGACACAGGUGGUCAGGUAGAGAAUACCAAGGCGCUUGAGAGAACUCGGGUGAAGGAACUAGGCAAAAUGGUGCCGUAACUUCGGGAGAAGGCACGCUGAUAUGUAGGUGAAGUCCCUCGCGGAUGGAGCUGAAAUCAGUCGAAGAUACCAGCUGGCUGCAACUGUUUAUUAAAAACACAGCACUGUGCAAACACGAAAGUGGACGUAUACGGUGUGACGCCUGCCCGGUGCCGGAAGGUUAAUUGAUGGGGU
rnacentral:rRNA from 1 species